rnacentral:tRNA from 1 species
GGGGAUUUAGCUCAGCGUCAUGAGUACCUGUCUUACAAGCAUGAGGUCAUGAGUUCAAUCCCCA